rfam:Burkholderiales bacterium RIFOXYC12_FTLL_65_23 rifoxyc3_full_scaffold_95, whole genome shotgun sequence.
GGGGCUGCACUGGUUUCGACGUGGGUUCGGACACGCAGCAGGGCAUGUCGAGGUUCUGUCACCUCGUAAAACCGCAGAAAAAAACUAACUGCAAACGACGAACGUUUCGCACUCGCCGCUUAAUCCGGUGAGCCUUGCAACAGUCGGCCAAUGGGCUGGGCAAGGGCAGUCGUAAGACUGUCCCGGCUGCAAGGAAAAUUUCAUAGGCUGGUCAUCAUGCGGGCAACUUGCCUGGUGACGAGAUCCAAGGUUGCUGGCUGGGUGCAUAGCGUGUCGCUGCGCGAUGCAUCUGGCGAGACUCAAAUCAGACGACUACACAUGUAGAACUGCGCGGAGAAGGCUUGCGGACGGGGGUUCAAAUCCCCCCAGCUCCACCA